UACGUAGGGUGCAAGCGUUGUCCGGAAUUAUUGGGCGUAAAGAGCUCGUAGGCGGUUUGUCGCGUCGGCUGUGAAAACCUGAGGCUCAACCUCAGGCCUGCAGUCGAUACGGGCGGACUUGAGUACUGCAGGGGAGACUGGAAUUCCUGGUGUAGCGGUGAAAUGCGCAGAUAUCAGGAGGAACACCGGUGGCGAAGGCGGGUCUCUGGGCAGUAACUGACGCUGAGGAGCGAAAGCGUGGGGAGCGAACAGG
rnacentral:rRNA from 1 species